GUAGGUAUGCCCUUGUAUUUUUUAAAUAUAAAUGUUAACUUUGUACAUCACUUUCCAAGUACUGGAUGAGGCUUACUGUAGGACACCCACAACAGACCUUUAAGAAUCAAAGGCAAAAGAAGGUGAUUUCAAUUCUGAAAACAACCCAAGCCCCCACUGUCAACCUGGCCGUGGCCCUGGGUGAAAGCCACGGUCACCAUGGUGGUGCUGUCUUCUCCCCUGCAGACAUCCAGGACAAAGAAGACACACAACUUAGGAAGGAAAGGCUUUUGGAGCAAGCUCGUCGGCUCUAAAUUUCAGCGCCUAUCGGGCCACCAAUGUACAUCUGUCCAUCUUUAAGGCUUUCGGCUAAGGGGAAACACUGAAGAAAGCAUGCCAAAUUAUCUUCCAAGAUCUCUGUGUCCUUGGGGAUAACUAAGAAGUAACUAGUGGGGGAAACUGUUUCUUUCUGGAUGCUGACAAGCAAAAGUGGAAAGCAAUUUGGAGAAAACUUUGCCUGCAACAAACGUGGUGUAAAAGCAAGAAAAGACUGUGAACGAGGAGCAACCUGAAAAACCGGAUUGUUACACACAUGAAGUCACCAAUCAAAAAAAAAAUCCUGAAAUGGCUCAUUGCUUUGGUACACUAUCCUUAAUUAAAAAUCCAUUGUCUGAAAGCUAGAAGUAUUAGGAAAAAAUACCGAUAUGUGAAAACAGAUUUGUGGGCUUAGGUCUCUAUUGUUGCCUACCUAUUGAGACGUCUACAAAAAAGUUUUCCCCCCCCAACCUUUCUGCUUUCCUUAUUCUUAAAUGUUCAAAGUGAUUUGCAUUUUCUGGAAUAUUCACCUAAUCACUGACAUCCUCACUUAAAAGGAAAUCAGACUGUUUUAGGGCUGUGCUGUUGCUCACUGUAAAUCCUAACUGUGUUAGGAGGGAGCAGAAAAAUAAAAUUGGCAAAAUUCUA